AAGAAAUGUUUAUUUUCUGUGCAUAUUUGUUUUAAAAUUAUAAAUCCCUGAGCACUUUUUCUUCUUCCUCCUCAUCACUGUCGGUGACAUUGACUUGCUGGAUGCUAGAAGGAGUUGAUGUCGGGGCUGUGAAGACAUUCUCCAAGGUUCCAAUGUCCAGCUGAGGCACAGGGUUUAAGUUUUCUUCCCCACUGUGGCUAUGACUGUUAUAGUAAGAAGUUCCAUUCAUGUUCUCACAACUCCGAGAAUUUUCACUGUGUGUGCAUUCACUUGAGUAGUCUCUAAAAGAAUAGUCUCUAUUUAAAGUUGAAAAGAUACCCUCAUGUUUUGGGUACCUGUCUUCAUAAUAACUAAGGCAUUCUGGCAUUGAACUCGGAAAAUUUCCAUAGCCAAAGGGAUCCUAAGGUCUUGCUGGUGCGGCCCAAAGGCACCGGACGUUGGGGCCAAGAUGACCUCCGCGCUGCCAUGAACCAGGCCAUUGGACGCGGGCUCCGCGCCGAGCCUGCAGUCCUCGAGGAGUCUCUCGGGUUCCUCCGUUUUGAUCACACCUUCUCGGAUGGCUGCCGGGCUUUUGCCUGCCCCGCCUUGCAUCGAGUCUCUCAUGACCUCCUCCGCCUCCAGCUUGCCCUUCUCGUCCCCUCGGAAGUAGCCGAGGGCCGGCCCGGGGCCUUCCAACUUGACCACCCUGGAGGCUCUAGGACCGGUUUCGACGGCCCCUCGAGGCCCCACUGACUGAUCCAGGCUGGGCCCCAGCUUCUGCUUCUUGGCCUUGACAUGCAGCGCCAGGGGCUGCACCGGGUGCAACUCGGGCCUGGAGGUGGCGCCGUCUGACGCUGUCGGCGGCUGCAGGAGCCGCAGGUCGGGCCUGAACUGCAACAGCCGCGCCUGCGCGGACGAGGCAGCGGCUUCCUCGUUCUGGGCCUGAGGCUGUGGUAGCAGCAACACCUGCUCUGGCUUCACCUGCAGCAGCCGCCGCACCGCGGGCUGUAAGCCGGACGCCACUGCCUCCCCGCACGACGAGGCCAAGGUCGCACUGGCUGCCGCGCUCAGUGUGGGAGACGACGGAGGGGGCUCCAUGGCUGCUGCCCAAAAGGAGGUGCCCUCGACCGGCAGCGGGGGCGGAGCGGGACGCAACGGGCGCGGCUGAGGCGGCGGCUCGGGUCUGGCUCUCUCCAUGGGGGAGGGGGACGCCCCGGCCAGGAUUGUGAGCUCAGCCGUUUGUUGGCGACCUUCCCCCUCCCCCUUUCGGUUAAGAGCCUUGCAAGGCCUUUGCUACCCAGAACCCUACGCGGUUCAAAACGCAGCUGUCUGUCUGGGCCUCACCCAAUCACAACGACCGAUACCCGUGGACGGCCAAUCACAGGCGGGUUUUCCGGCUCUUCCUGGUCCCUACUCUCGCCUCGUGCUGAGUCCUCGAAUCACCUGCCAUGGUAGGAGCCGCCGCACUUGUUGCACAUUUUCGUUCUGACUCUCUUGUGGAGUUCUCUUACAGCCGUU
rnacentral:lncRNA from 1 species